rnacentral:lncRNA from 1 species
CCCGGGCAGGCGCGGAGGCCUUGAGGGUGAGGGGUGGGCCCUGGCCUGGGAGCCUGCAGCGAGACCAGGGAAGAAACAUGUGAAGUAAAUUGCCAGUCUCCAGUGAGUUGUGCGCCUGUGAUACUGAGAAGAGGGACAGAAGCGGAAGUGACGCUCCUCUGUCAUCCGCUCUUUGGUGGCCGGGCAUCCCCUGGUAGCUGAGACUCAUGACAUCCCCAUGCGGAUCCUGACAGAGGAGGACGCCAGGGAGCGCGGGCCCAGCGAAGGCUCCUAAACAAGAUCAGCGAGAAAGGGCAAGGCCCCCUGCGGGGCCCAGCGAGACUCUCUAGCCCCGGGGACCCGGGGUUGUCCUGCUGCUGCAGAGGAACAGAAAUUGUCUUGUCAUUCUGUGUCCCUUGGGACUCCUAUUAUUACUGGCAGAUGGCAAACAGAAUGCAAAAGAAGUCCAUAUCUAGAGAAAUCCUGGUGGAAUUUUUCAAACUUCUAUGACAAAAAAAAGUCCGAUGAGUUUCUAGAUUUUAAAAAGUACUAAAUUACUUUUUAAAAAAUCAACUUUACAAACAACAUGAAAACAGAAUGUUUAAGAGGAAAAAUUAUGUGUAGCUUAUAAUAAUAAUUAUAUCCCAGUUUUCCUUACUUUACUGGAGUACAGAGAAAUGACUUUUUAAAAAGGUAUACAAGUUUUAUUAAAUAAAAGUCAAUGUGAGCUUCUUAA